GACAGAGGUGCCGAGCGUUAGGCGGAAUCACUGGGCUUAAAGCGUGUGUAGGCGGGUCCGUAAGUACUUUGUGAAAUCCCACGGCUCAACCGUGGAACUGCUUGGUAUACUGCGGGUCUUGAGCCACCUAGGGGCAAGCGGAACAAACGGUGGAGCGGUGAAAUGCGUAGAGAUGUGGAGGAACACCAGUGGCGAAGGCGACUCUUUGGCCUGUAACUGACGCUGAGGCGCGAAAGCGUGGGGAGCAAACAGG
rnacentral:rRNA from 1 species